AUCCUUUUGUAGUUCCUAAGCGUGGUGGUUAGGUGUUUACGCUCUUGUGUGAGAUGUGCCUCCCUCAAACCUUAUUACCACAUCGGCACAUUACCCGUCUAACG